UACGAAGGGGGCUAGCGUUGUUCGGAAUUACUGGGCGUAAAGGGCGCGUAGGUGGCUUGGCAAGUUGGGUGUGAAAGCCCAGGGCUCAACCCUGGAAUUGCACUCAAGACUGCUUUGCUUGGAUUCGGUAGAGGUUGGUGGAAUUCCCAGUGUAGAGGUGAAAUACGUAGAGAUUGGGAAGAACACCAGUGGCGAAGGCGGCUAUCUGGACGGUUUCUGACACUAAGACUCGAAAGCGUGGGGAGCAAACAGG
rnacentral:rRNA from 1 species